rnacentral:rRNA from 1 species
AACGUAGGUGACAAGCGUUAUCCGGAUUUACUGGGCGUAAAGCGUGCGUAGGCGGUCUCGCAAGUCCGAUGUGAAAUCCCCGGGCUUAACCUGGGAACUGCGUUGGAAACUAGCGAGCUUGAGUAUGGUAGAGGGUGGUGGAAUUUCCUGUGUAGCGGUGAAAUGCGUAGAUAUAGGAAGGAACACCAGUGGCGAAGGCGACCACCUGGACUGAUACUGACACUGAGGUGCGAAAGCGUGGGGAGCAAACAGG